rnacentral:lncRNA from 13 species
CCUGGGUAAGAUGGCAAAAUCCUGACUCUACUAAAAAUACAAAAAUUAGCUGGGCAUAGUGGUGCACGCCUGUAAUCCCAGCUAUUUGGGUGGCUGAGGCACAAGAAUCGCUUAAACCCGGGAGGUGGAGUUGCAGUGAGCUGAGAUUGUGUCCUGCACUGCAGCCUUGGCAACAGAGGGAGAUUCUGUCUCAAAAUAAAUUUAAAACAAAUACUGAAUCUCAGAUAUUGCUCCAGGGUUCCAAAGUUUCAUUUAAAUAGGAGGAAUACAUUUAGGAGAGCUAUUGUAAAACAUGGUAAUUACAGUUAAUAAUGUGUUAUACUUGACAUUUGCUAAGAGAGUAGAUUUUAAGUAUUCUCACCACAUAAGUAUGUGAGAAAAUGAAUAUGUUAAUAGCUUGAUUUAAUCAUUCAACAAUAUAUACAUAUAUCAAUACAUUAUGUUGUAUACCAUAAAUAUAUAUAAUUCUGUCAAUUAAAAAACGAUAACUUUUUAAAAAAAAACCCAUGUCUCUUGCAGCUCUCUUAGUGAUGUCUUUUUUUUUUCUUUUUCUUUUUUGAGACAGGGUCUCACUCUGUUACCCAGGCUGGAGUGCAGCGGUGCAGUCACAAUUCACCGUAGCCUUGAUCUCUUGGGCUCAAGCCAUCCUCCCACCUCAGCCUUCCAAGUAUCUGGGACCACAAGCAUAUGCCACCAUGUUGGCUAAUUUUUAUUUUUUGUAGAGACAGUGUCUCACUCUGUUGCUGAGGCUGUGAUGUCUGGUUUUUUUUUAGAAAAAAUCCACACCCACAUAUGUGCCUGAAUGUAGGAUUUUAUAACCUGACAGUGUGCUGGAACUUCUCAGCUGGACUCCUGGACUCCCACAAGGGUAUUGUCUCAUCUGUGGAUAGUUGUCUCAACUGACGUUUCUGUGUGGGAAGAAAGCUCCUAUUCUACUAUCUUGCUGAUACCAUUCUCUCAUAUUUCUUUUGUUAAAUGCUUAGGAGUUGGAUAGGAGAGGA